ensembl:misc_RNA
GCAUGGUGUGAUUAACCUACUAACCCAGGGCUCAGCCGGGACGCUGUGGCGCGUGACGAGGUGCCUGGCCUUCUGCCAACCAACUAACCCACUAACCAGGCCCGAGCAUGCCCUACUAACCACCCCCCCCCCCCCGCAGCCAGAUCCUACUAACC